rnacentral:rRNA from 1 species
GACGAACGCUGGCGGCGUGCCUAAUACAUGCCAGUAGAACGCUGAAGGAGGAGCUUGCUUCUCUGGAUGAGUUGCGAACGGGUGAGUAACGCGUAGGUAACCUGCCUGGUAGCGGGGGAUAACUAUUGGAAACGAUAGCUAAUACCGCAUAAUAGUAGAUGUUGCAUGACAUUUGCUUAAAAGGUGCAAUUGCAUCACUACCAGAUGGACCUGCGUUGUAUUAGCUAGUUGGUGAGGUAACGGCUCACCAAGGCGACGAUACAUAGCCGACCUGAGAGGGUGAUCGGCCACACUGGGACUGAGACACGGCCCAGACUCCUACGGGAGGCAGCAGUAGGGAAUCUUCGGCAAUGGACGGAAGUCUGACCGAGCAACGCCGCGUGAGUGAAGAAGGUUUUCGGAUCGUAAAGCUCUGUUGUAAGAGAAGAACGAGUGUGAGAGUGGAAAGUUCACACUGUGACGGUAUCUUACCAGAAAGGGACGGCUAACUACGUG